ACCCAGGCUAUAGUGCAGUAAUAUCAUCAUGGCUCACUUCAAUCUCGACUUCUCCAGCUCAAACAAUCCUCCCACCUCAGCCUCCCAAGUAGUUGGGACUACAGGCAAGUGUCAUUACACCCAGGUACAGAAAGCUUUUCAUGGUUCACUGACUGAGGACGAUCAACCCCUUCAUAAUCCAUAACCCAAAGAUUGAACUGUCUGAGAACACCAGAGAAAGACUGCUCCUGCCAUCCAUAUUGCAGCAAAACUUCAGGACUUUGAACCUUGGGUUCAUAAUCUUACAACUCAGAAGCAUCCCUCCACACUCUUGAAACUGGACAUCCUUGGGAACCCUUAAGAGUUCUCAUGAGGUCUGGUUGUUUAAAAGUGUGUGGAACCUUCCCGUUCACUCUUUCUCCUGCUCUGACAUGUGAAGAUGUGACUGCUUUUCUUUCAACUUCUGCCAUGAUUGUAAAUUUCCUGAGGCCUCUUCAGCCAUGCUUCCUGUACAACCUGCAGAACUGUGAGUCAAUUAAACCACUUUUUUUUUUUUAUAAAGUACCCAGUCUCAGGUACUUCUUUAUAGCAAUACAAGAACGGACUAAUACAAUAAACUAAUGCCUUGAUAGAUGGAAGAUGAAGGCCCAACAUAGGUGAGAAAUUUUAAUGGUAUGUACAUUGCUCCACAAUCAGUCAGAAAGAACUCCUCUCAACCUACAGUGUGGGUUAAAAAGAACAUUGCCAGAAGGUCAUCAUUCUUCUAGAAGGGCAUCAUUUGUUAGGUCCUUUUUUCGAUAGUUAGUAAAGGAGGCAAUGAUUAGAAAUUCGUUCCUCACCAUAGGCUCCCUAGCAGAUUCUCCUGUAAAAGCUAUGAUUACACAACAGACUUUAAAUUAUCUCAUGAAAGUGAUGCUAAAUAAUAGAAUUGUUCUAGAUUACUUCCUGGCUAAACAGAGAAGUAACCGUGCAGCUACUGGCACUUGUUGCCCAUGGAGAAAUAUAUCACAUUGGAUAUUACAGAGAUUAAAUAGUAGGGGAUUAAUGAAGAGACUGCUUAGUUAAAGCAAGUAGACUCUUUAUCUAGCUCAUUCUUUGAUCUAUUGAUUUUAGUUUGUUUGCUUUAUGGAGACCCUGGGUAAGGAGCAUACUCCAAACUCUUGGUAUUAUCCUCCUGAUAGUCAUAAUAGUAGUCUCCCUGGUGCACUGUGGUCUCUGAAAAGCUUUACAAGUUUGCAUGCAGCCAUCUCUAGAAUAUCAAAUGGUCUGUCUUCAACUGUAAUGACAAGAGUGAAAAGUGUGUGACCAUGAGGGCACCAUAACCUGUAAAUGAAUUCUGAGACUGGAAACCCAAAAUGAUGGCAACAUUGUUGAAAAUGUUGAAAAUGACAACUGAAUGGUAUCCCUCUACAAAUGUUUAAGUGGCCUAUCACGUUGUGGAAUGUACCUGAAGCUUUGUGUUCCCAGGAAUAUUGGUUCGACAAACCAAACAUUGGUCAUACACUAUUUUAGCAGUUUAUAAGCUACCACAGCAAAAUAUAUUUAAUUGGGGUCAUUUUUAUCAUUUUCAUGAUGAGUCAUGGAAUGCAGGACUCAGGAAGGGUAAGGCAGCCGUCCUGGUUCUCCAUGCUUGACAUUGGACUUACGUCCUUUUGAAUACCAGUUGUUUCCCCGAUUUAGGUGCAUAGCACUGACAACUGAUGGCUUAUCAUAGAUAAUUUAACUUAGACCAUGGAGCUCAUUCAAAUUGUAUAUCUAAAUUAGUUUUGGUCACACUCUUACCUAAGGAGAACUUGACUAAAUGGGAGAUUUUUUUUAAAGACAAUUAUUGGAGGCCAUUGUUUUGGACUGAGCUCAUGCAGUAGACCCCAAAAGACCAGAUCAAACCAAAAUGGAGUCACUUAUGAUAAAUGUGACAUAAUCAAACUAAGACUUUAAGGAAACACAUAGAUCCUAGAAAAGACCAGGUUUAGGGUUUUUUUUUUUUCCCCUUGUAAACAGGAUGUUCCGGCAUAAGGAGAUACCCUCUACUGGAACCCUUUUAAAAAAAUGACCUGAAGUCCUUGUUCCCAUCCUACAAAAUCCAUAGUUCUAUUUUCCAGUGGUUUUCAAGAGCAAAUAAGUACAGUUACAAUGAUGAUAGUGCCAUCAAUCACUAAACUUUUGGUCAUCCUCUCAAUUUUGAGAGGAUGACCAAAAGGAGGGAACUGUUAAAUCAAGUUUAGUCUAAAACUGCCUCCUUACGUAUUUUAAGUUUGGCCUAAAAGUUUCUCUGUACAUCGUGAAUCAUAGCCUAAAUAGAAGUGUAAACAGACUAUACUGUACUCUUGUGCCAAUCACUGAAUUUUGGCCAAUCAAAUGUGGCCAACUGUUUAAAUCGUGUUCGACUAAGACAAACACUGAGCUAUAACCAAUCCAGCAGUUUCUGUACCUCACUUCUGAUUUGUGUACAUCACUUUCCUUUUUCUAUCCAUAAAUCUUCUACCACAUGGCUGCACCAGAGUCUCUUAGCCUACUCUGGUGUGGGAGGCUGCCUGAUUUGCAAAUCGUUCUUUGCUCAAUUAAACUCUUUAAUUGGGCUAAAGUUUUUCUUUUACCAUAAGGAAAUUUUUGUAUAAUUUAAAAAUCUUAGAAUUUUUUUAAUGUUCCUUUGAUGUUUGGGUCAUUCCCAAUUACUAGAGGGUUAUGAUAUGGGAACACAUGUUUUAAAAAAUUAUGGAAUGUUUUCAGCUAUCAAAUGCUAACAUCUGAUAGUUGUUCCGGAUUUAUUGCUUCCUAGACUUUCACUAAAAUUUAAGGUUAUAAUUCUGUAUAUAAAAUGUGCUAAAGAAGAUGGGUUUUUAUUGAGGAAAAGAAUAAUUUUAUCUAAUUCAGAAAUUAUCUGUUUAUUCAAAUUAUGAAUUAUGAAAAUUUUUGUAAUAAAAUGACUGGUUAUCAAAAAAAAGAAUUUAGGACAAAAUAGGAAGUCAAAGCGUAUCAUAGAUGGUCCGUGUAAGUCAUAGGUACAUUUAUUCCUGUUUCUCUCUGUGUUUAUCUUCAUGUACAUUCAGAGAAAAUAGGAACUUGAAAAAGUUUAGUUAAUAAAACAUUCUUUAAGAC